GAGCUGUGAUGAAUCGUGAUGGUUAGGGUCUAUCACUACCGUCUGAUUCUUCGGACGAAAAUACUCACACCUGAGCUC
rnacentral:snoRNA from 1 species